rnacentral:piRNA from 1 species
UGAGAACCAGAAACUACGUGCUGAUCAGUGU